GUUCUGCUCUUCCUCCAACAGCCACGCAGCGAGCUCACGAGGCAGCCUCCACACAUAAUGAAAGCAAACGCCACCAUAAAUCUCCCGCUCGGGGGAGGUCACUUCAGAAAAAUCGCCCGCUGCUCAAAUAAGCACCAGCUCUGCUGAGGCACAUGGAAGGGGGAAAACACCGACUGUGAUAAACACCAGCAGCUCCCUGCCUUCCACCUCCCUGCUGCAAAAUGGAUCAAUCUAUAAUAAGUAGUAGUUAUAUAUCAUAAGGCAGCAAUUCCUUUUAGUUGUUCCACUAUAAAAAAGCAUCCAGAUUUAGAACUUGACAGGAACCGGUAUCGCCUGCCCCCCAGAGCCGGCAGAAAGUCUGUGUAUGUCAUUCAGCCAGCAUGGAGUCUGGGUGUUUUAAAAGCUUUAAUUUGAAGGGGAUAAAAAACCUGGGCGUUAAGCAAUUUGGCUGUGGAUAUUUAAUGCAUCAGCCACGCUAUAGAAUUGGAGCCCUCUAUUUAAAAUGAGAAAUUGAAAACUUACACGCUCUGUAGGCAAGGUGUAAGUAAAUGUAGGAUGGUAAGCAGAAAUCAGCUGAGAACCUGCAGAAACGCCAUUAGAAGGACUAAUGGCAUGGUUCAGAAGUGGCCUUAAACAAAUGCUAGGGUGUCGUUUGUAAGUGUGUAAAACAGGUCUGGCUUUUAAUUAGCAGGAGCCAUAUCUCCCUGUGUUUAGGAAAAGGCAUUACUUCUCAAAGAGAAUAUGCUAACGGGGUCUACAUAGGGACCAGGAGGAAACAAUGGCCCGGGAGUUGAGAUUUGCCUCAAGGCACGCUCCUCCUCAAUGGUAGCGUGGAGAUUGGAACUCAGUCUCCUCAUCUCUAAUUUCCACUCUGACACACUUAUUGUAGGUAAAAAAAUGCAUCCCAAAGAUGUCUACUUCUUAAUCCCCAGAACCUGUACAUACAGCACUUUACAUGGCAAAAGCGACUUUGCAGAUAUGAUUGGGUUAAGGGUUUUGAGAUAGGGAGAUUACUAGGUGGCCCAACGGAAUCACAAGGGGCCUGAUAAGUAUGAGAGGGAGCAGGAGAGUGAGCGUCAGAGUCAGAGAGAGACUGGAAGAUGCUAUCCCACGGGCUUUGAAGAUGAAGGAAGGGGCCACAAGCCAAGGAAUGCAGGCAGCCUCUAAAUGCAGGAAAAGAAACCUUGUCACUUACACACAGUAUCCAGCUCAAGAGCAAGCCAUCUAUCAUGACAUGAGGUGAAAGUGGCACGGAGCAGUGUGUGCUGAAGCAGAACCAACAUGGAAAUGGUGAAUUUGUUUUCACAAAGUGUCAAAUGGACCGAGGUGUCCUUAACACACUGGCUUUACCCCGGAAUGGCAUUUGGAGGGCAGGGAGCUGAGAUUUUCCUCAACCCAAGGCUAGGAGGUCAGAUGAGCAGCAAGAAGAUACUGGAAAUCCAUCCCAACUGUCUCCCUGGGUCUCACGUCACCUUUUCUCUUUGCACAUCUGCUCAGUCUCCUCUCUUUCUCUGCUCACCAGCCUUCUCUGGUCCCAGCCCAUAGAGCAGAGCUCAUGACUGCCCCAGGUCUCCUGAGGACACAUAGUCCAACCAUACUUCUCUCCAGUCCCAAAUCCAAAUUACCAGAGUUGCAAUUUUAGUUGACCCCAUCUGGGUCAGCUGCCAAUCCACUGGAGCCAGAGGUCAGGGGCACAUGCACCCAGAUGUUCCUGGGGGCCAUUUCCUCUGACUCCAGGCACCCAAUUAAGAGGUGGACAGACAUACCAAAGUGCAUCCAAUAUGUGCACCUGUCCUUAAGAGCAUAAUAAUACUUUAAAAUCAUGAUGAUGCAUUCUAUCAUUUAUUUCACAAAUAAUCAAUGAACCCCUAAUUUGUCAGGCACUGUGCUAGGCUCUGAGGAUUCAGGCAGAUGAAGUCCAGCACUCUAGUGGGAGAGAUAAACAAAAGAACAACCAACUUACAAACAAAAUAAUAACAGAUUGCAAUAACUGCCACAUAAAAAAUGGAAGGAGUUAUGUGACAGAGUAUUUGAGGGAUGCACGUGGAGGCAUGCUUGUCUGAGGCCCCCUUGAAGAGCUAAUGUUAAGUACCUAAGGAAGAAGGUGAUUUCAGUAGAGGGGAUGGGGGCCCUGAGGUGGAAAAGAACCUAGGGGAUACAAUAUGAGUUUAGAGACACAGACAGGAUCCAGUUCAUUUGGGGCCUGUGCACCAUGCUAGGAGGCGGGGCUUUUAUUCUAAGGGCACAAGGAAGAUGUUGACAAAGAUCAAGCAGAGGAGAGCUUGAUCUGAUUUAUGUUUUUAAAAGAUGACUUUGGGGUAGGAUUGUGUGGAAGCAGGGAGGCUGGUUAGGAAGCUGUUGUGGUAGUUCAGGAGAGAGAGCAGAUGAACCUUUGGGAGGGUGACAGUCAUUAGGAUGGACAGAUGCUACAGUCCAAAUGUUUGUGGCCCCCAAAAUUCAUACAUUGAAAUCCAAUCCCCAAUGUGAUCAUAUUAAGAGGUAAGGCCUUUAGGAGGUGAUUAGGUCAUGAGUGGGGAGCUCUCAUAAAUGGGAUUAGUGCUCUUAUAAAAGAGCCUGAGGGGCUCAUUUGCCAGUUCCACCAGGUGAGGAAGCAGCAAGAAGGUGCCAUCCAUGAAUCAGAAAGUGGGCCCUAACCAAAUCUACUGGCAUCUUCAUGCAGGACUUCCAGCCUCUAGAACCGUGAGAAAUAAAUGUUUGUUGUUUGUAAGCUGCUCAAACUGUAGUCUUUUGUUGUAGCUGCACAAACAAACUUAAGACAACAGAAGAACCAGAUUCUAGAUGUAUUUUGCAGUAAGACAGCCCAGAACUUGCUGAUGCAUAGAAUUUGAGGUGGAAAAAAAAGAAUUUCAGAUGACUCCUAGCUUAGGUUUCAGUGGCUGCAUGGAUGGUGAGCCAUUUUCUGGAAUAGGGCAGAUUGGAAUGACUGACCAUAUCUUUAUCACAGAAGACGUCAAAGCAAGAACUCUGCAGCCCCAGACAUCAAGGUUCUUGGAACCUGAUCUGCUGAGAAACUCUUGGUUCUCUCUGUAGUCCAAGGGCUCUAAUUCUCAUAGACCAUCACCGUAAUUCCACUUCAGUCACCCCAACCACACCUCCUCCCUCAAAACCUGCCUAUUUAUCCCUAGGAUGCUUAGAGGAAGAAAGGCUUGGGGUUGAUGCAGUGAAUUAACCCAAAUAUCAAUUCUCUCCUUUCUAACUCUGUACAUUGUUAGGACAACUUUGCUCCAAGUGCCAUAUCAGCCUCCACCUCUACAAUAAGGGCAGGGAGAACAUACUUACUCACAAAGCUUUCAUUUUUAAAACUGAAACAAAACUAUACAUGUAAACUACUUACCCCAGUGCCUACAUUAUGUUGAGCAUUUGAUAUACAUUGGAUGUCAUUAUUCUU